CAAGCUCACUCACAGAUGUCGUCAGAGGACAGCCUGCAGAAGGGAGUUGGCCCUAUCCUUCUACCAUGUAGGUCCCCGGGACUGAAUUCAAGCCAUCAGGUUUGGUGACAAGUGCCUCUUCCAACUGAGCCAUUUGCUGGCCCGAUUCGUUACUUUGUGUGUGUAGCUCGCACGCCAUGUGCUGUGUGGAGGUAAAAGGACACAACAAACUGCUGUUGCUAGGCUUGUGUGGUGGUUCUCGUUGGAAAGGCACCGUGAAAAGCAUAGUCAUUUAUCAGUGCAGAGUUCUCAGACUUUACAAUGGCAGUGUGAUAAUGUAACGGCUCCACAAAUAAAUAUUUUAACCUAA